rnacentral:rRNA from 1 species
AUUGAACGCUGGCGGAAUGCUUUACACAUGCAAGUCGAACGGCAGCACGGGGCAACCUGGUGGCGAGUGGCGAACGGGUGAGUAAUGCAUCGGAACGUGCCAUUGAGUGGGGGGAUAACGUAGCGAAAGUUGCGCUAAUACCGCAUAUUCUGUGAGCAGGAAAGCAGGGGACCGCAAGGCCUUGCGCUCUUUGAGCGGCCGAUGUCAGAUUAGCUAGUUGGUGAGGUAACGGCUUACCAAGGCGACGAUCUGUAGCGGGUCUGAGAGGAUGAUCCGCCACACUGGAACUGAGACACGGUCCAGACUCCUACGGGAGGCAGCAGUGGGGAAUAUUGUGCAAUGGGCGAAAGCCUGACGCAGCGACGCCGCGUGAGGGACGAAGGUCUUCGGAUUGUAAACCUCUUUCAGCAGGGACGAAGCGAAGUGACUGUACCUGCAGAAGAAGCACCGGCUAACUACGUGCCAGCAGCCGCAGUAAU